GUGGGGAAUCUUGCGCAAUGGGCGAAAGCCUGACGCAGCCAUGCCGCGUGAAUGAUGAAGGUCUUAGGAUUGUAAAAUUCUUUCACCGGGGACGAUAAUGACGGUACCCGGAGAAGAAGCUCCGGCUAACUUCGUGCUAGCAGCCGCGGUAAUACGAAGGGGGCUAGCGUUGCUCGGAAUUACUGGGCGUAAAGGGCGCGUAGGCGGACAGCUUAGUCAGAGGUGAAAGACCAGGGCUCAACCUUGGAAUUGCCUUUGAUACUGGCUGUCUUGAGUUUGGGAGAGGUGAGUUGAAGUCCGAGUGUAGAGGUGAAAUUCGUAGAUAUUCGGAAGAACACCAGUGGCGAAGGCGACUCAUUGGCCCAAUACUGACGCUGAGGCGCGAAAGCGUGGGGAGCAAACAGGAUUAGAAACCCUGGUAGUCC
rnacentral:rRNA from 1 species